UAGCACAGUGGUUGAGCGCUUGGCUUCUAACCAAAAUGUUGGUGGUUAGAACCCACU
rnacentral:tRNA from 1 species